AGACGAGCGAGUAUGUGACUAUCACGAAUGGGCCGGAAUAGUUUGCUAGAAACUUCCGGUACAAUCCUUUUCUACGAACAGGAGUCCAUAGCCAAACGUAGUCGCCAGGAGAAAACUCUACGGGGAUAUGCUUGGCAUCGUAGCGACUCUUGCUGUGUUCUUGAGAAGACAAUGUUCGAAGGCGCGCUAGUUGACGUGCUUCUUCAGCACGACACAACGUCUGAGCGAUGGACAGAUCUUCCUCAUGCGAGAAAGGUAAGAGGGUGUCCA
rnacentral:lncRNA from 1 species